rnacentral:sRNA from 2 species
CGGGUUAUAUGUCUUUAUUGUCACAGAUUUUAUUUUCUGUUGGGCCAUUGCAUUGCCACUGAUUUUCCAACAUAUAAAAAGACAAGCCCGAACAGUCGUCCGGGCUUUUUUUUUAGAAUUGGA